GGGCCCGCACAAGCAGUGGAGUAUGUGGUUUAAUUCGAAGCAACGCGAAGAACCUUACCAGGUCUUGACAUCCAACGGAUCCUGUAGAGAUACGGGAGUGCCCUUCGGGGAACGUUGAGACAGGUGGUGCAUGGUUGUCGUCAGCUCGUGUCGUGAGAUGUUGGGUUAAGUCCCGCAACGAGCGCAACCCUUGUGAUUAGUUGCUACGCAAGAGCACUCUAAUCAGACUGCCGUUGACAAAACGGAGGAAGGUGGGGACGACGUCAAAUCAUCAUGCCCCUUAUGACCUGGGCUACACACGUACUACAAUGGCCGUCAACAGAGGGAAGCAAGACCGCGAGGUGGAGCAAACCCCUAAAAACGGUCUCAGUUCGGAUCGCAGGCUGCAACCCGCCUGCGUGAAGCUGGAAUUGCUAGUAAUCGCGGAUCAUCAUGCCGCGGUGAAUACGUUCCCGGGCCUUGUACACACCGCCCGUCACACCAUGGGAGCCGGUAAUACCCGAAGUCGGUAGCCUAACCGCAAGGAGGGCGCCGCCGAAGGUAGGAUUGGCGACUGGGGUGAAGUCGUAACAAGGUAGCCGUAUCGGAAGGUGCGGCU
rnacentral:rRNA from 1 species